CCAGCCACCAGCUUCCCGGUCUCCGUAUUCACCCUCAACCCGCCUCAGUCGCCAGCCGUGAGCCCUCUCCGUCUUCACCAGAAAGUUCAGAAAAUGGUGCCCCAUCUAGUCACCGUAAUACUCUCCAGCAAGAGUUAUCAUCCUCUGUAAACUCUGGUAGGAGGUUUGAAGCUGUUGCAACUUUUAGGUUAAUCUGGUGGAAUCAGGGUUCAGGAUCAA